UAUAUGAGGCAAUCUUCCAAACUUAGCAUUAGAAACAAAGAUUCAGCAGCAAUCUAUCCACUCAUGAAAGCAAAUCAUGAAAAGCUGGAAUCUUUUCUCAUACUUCACAGCUUCUAACACAAGGACAGAGGACAGAGAUUUUUGGUAAUAAUUACAGAAGCAGUGCAACAUAGAUACAUCCUUUUGAGGCAAUAACUACAAUCAAGUGCUUUCUGCAACUCUGAAGGAGACUUCACUUCUCACCUGGCAAUUUGACCCAUUCUUGAGCAAAUUAUUCCAGUUUUCUUAUAUUCAGAGGAUUCCUUCUCCCAACAUGAGCAUCCCCCACCUUUGGCAGCAAUAACUAAUUAAAUGUUUCCGAUAGCUGUGAAUAAUCUGGCACAUCUCUUAGAGGAAUUUGAGCCCAUUCCUCCUUACAACACAGCUUCAACUCAUGUUGAUGAGCUUCUUCAUAUGAACUACCUGCUUCAAGUCCUUCCAUAACAUUUCUAUAGGAUUAAGGACAUGUGGAGAACAGAUGACAUUUUUGAUCAGGGAUGUCAAACUCGCAUCAUCACGGCGGCAUCACGUAACAUAUUGUGACUUUUUUUCCUUUGCUAAACUGGGCGUGGGCAUCGCCAGUGUGUGAUGCAUCCAGCCCACAAAUUUGGCAUCCGUUUUAGAUUGUCACUUAAACUUAUAUAUCGCUCCGUGGUGCUUUACAGCCCCCUCUAAGUGGUUUACACAGUCAGCCUAUAGGCCCCAACAAUCUGGGUUUUCAUUUUACCGACCUUGGAAGGAUGGAAGGCUGAGUCAACCUUGAGCCCCUCAGAACAGAGAUAUUGAUGAGAAAAAGAUUUCAAGGAAGUGCUGUGAACUAUUUGAAUAACAUGCCUCUGGCAUUGAGCACCAGGUUGCCAGCACAAUCAUAUUGCUUUUGAGGUGUACCAGAGCAAAAUAGCUUACUUUCUUGCUAUCUCUCUCUGGAAUCUCUCUAUUCUGCAAGGGAGAAAAAAAGAAAAAACACAGGCCAGCACAGUACAAUGCCUGCUGACUAAAAUGGCAAUUACAUCACUGAAGAAUUCUGUGAAAGUCAUAAAUGGGUUGUAAAGUUAUUUUUUCAGCACUGCUAUAACUUUGAGUACUCGCUGAAUAAAUGCUAUAUAAACAAGGA